GACGAACGCUGGCGGCGUGCUUAACACAUGCAAGUCGAACGGAAAGGCCCUGCUUUUGUGGGGUGCUCGAGUGGCGAAGGGGUGAGUAACACGUGAGUAACCUGCCCUUGACUUUGGGAUAACUUCAGGAAACUGGGGCUAAUACCGGAUAGGAUCUCCUGCUGCAUGGUGGGGGCUGGAAAGUUUCGGUGGUUGGGUAGGGAAUCGGGGCUUAUCAGCUUUUGGGUGGGGUAGGGGCUUACCAAGGCUUUGACUGGUUGCCUGCCUGACAGGGUGACCGGCCACAUUGCAACUGGGAUACGGCCCAGACUCCUCCGCGACGCAGCAGUGGAGAAGAUUGCCCAAUGGGCGGAACCCUGAUGCAGCAACGCCGCGUGCGGGAUAACGGCCUUCGGGUUGUAAACCGCUUUCGCCUGUACCGAAGCGUGAGUGACGGUACUCGGUAAAGAAGCACCGGCUAACUACGUG
rnacentral:rRNA from 1 species